rnacentral:sRNA from 1 species
GCCGGGCGCGGUGGCACCCGCCUGUAAUCCCAGCAACUUCGGAGGCUGAGGCCGGGGGGAUCCAGGUUUGAGGCCAACGAUUUAGCGAGGCCCUAAGCAACUCAGCAAGACCCUGUCUCAA